rnacentral:rRNA from 1 species
GAUGAACGCUAGCUACAGGCUUAACACAUGCAAGUCGAGGGACCGGCGCACGGGUGAGUAACACGUAUCCAACCUGCCCUUUACUCGGGGAUAGCCUUUCGAAAGAAAGAUUAAUACCCGAUAUAAAGGAUGGGGAUGCGUUCCAUUAGGUUGUUGGUGAGGUAAAGGCUCACCAAGCCUUCGAUGGAUAGGGGUUCGGAGAGGAAGGUCCCCCACAUUGGAACUGGGACACGGUCCAAACGCCUACGGGAGGCAGCAGUGAGGAAUAUUGGGCAAUGGACGCAAGUCUGAACCAGCCAAGUAGCGUGCAGGAUGACGGCCUAUGGGUUGUAAACUGCUUUUAUAUGGGGAUAGGUACCAUAUGAAUAAGGACCGGCUAAUUCCGUGCCAGCAGCCGCGGUAAUUC